AUGGCAGAGUCAGGAGACCGUUGUGCGGCUUCGUCGGAUAUGCCAGGUGGCUCGCGUGUGGGUCUUCGACGGGACGACUUUUUGCGCGGCGUUAGAUUCGUCGUCGGAAUCGCGAUAGUGAGAAUCCCGGCGGCGUUUGAGGGAUACGUUUGUUGUUGUUUCGUCGGUCUCCAAUCCGACUCUUGUUAUUCUGUUUUUUGUAAUAUGAUAAGAAGAUGA